rnacentral:rRNA from 1 species
AUUGAACGCUGGCGGCAUGCCUUACACAUGCAAGUCGAACGGCAGCGGGGACUUCGGUCCGCCGGCGAGUGGCGAACGGGUGAGUAAUAUAUCGGAACGUACCAUUGAGUGGGGGAUAACGUAGCGAAAGUUACGCUAAUACCGCAUAUUCUCUCCGGAGGAAAGCAGGGGACCGCAAGGCCUUGCGCCCUUUGAGCGGACGAUAGUAGAUUAGCUAGUUGGUGAGGUAAAGGCUCACCAAGGCGACGAUCUGUAGCGGGUCUGAGAGGAUGAUCCGCCACACUGGGACUGAGACACGGCCCAGACUCCUACGGGAGGCAGCAGUGGGGAAUAUUGGACAAUGGGCGCAAGCCUGAUCCAGCCAUGCCGCGUGUGUGAAGAAGGCCUUCGGGUUGUAAAGCACUUUCAGCGAGGAGGAAGGGGUUGUAGUUAAUAGCUGCAACCUUUGACGUUACUCGCAGAAGAAGCACCGGCUAACUCUGUGCCAGCCGCCGCCGUAAUAC